UACGUAGGGGGCUAGCGUUGUCCGGAAUCAUUGGGCGUAAAGCGCGCGUAGGCGGCCCGGUAAGUCCGCUGUAAAAGUCCAGGGCUCAACCCUGGAAAGCCGGUGGAUACUGUCGGGCUCGAGUCCGGAAGAGGCGAGUGGAAUUCCUGGUGUAGCGGUGGAAUGCGCAGAUAUCAGGAGGAACACCCAUGGCGAAGGCAGCAAACUGGGCACUAUCUGACGCUGAGGCGCGAAAGCGUGGGUAGCAAACAGG
rnacentral:rRNA from 1 species